UACGUAGGGGGCAAGCGUUAUCCGGAAUUACUGGGUGUAAAGGGAGCGUGGACGGUAAUGUAAGUCUGGAGUGAAAGGCGGGGGCCCAACCCCCGGACUGCUCUGGAAACUAUGUUACUAGAGUGCAGGAGAGGUAAGCGGAAUUCCUAGUGUAGCGGUGAAAUGCGUAGAUAUUAGGAGGAACACCAGUGGCGAAGGCGGCUUACUGGACUGUAACUGACGUUGAGGCUCGAAAGCGUGGGGAGCAAACAGG
rnacentral:rRNA from 1 species